UACGUAGGGUGCAAGCGUUGUCCGGAAUUAUUGGGCGUAAAGAGCUCGUAGGUGGCCUGUCGCGUCGGCUGUGAAAACUCGGGGCUCAACUCCGAGCUUGCAGUGGAUACGGGCAGGCUAGAGGUAGGUAGGGGAGAAUGGAAUUCCCGGUGUAGCGGUGAAAUGCGCGAUAUCGGGAGGAACACCGGUGGCGAAGGCGGUUCUCU
rnacentral:rRNA from 1 species